rnacentral:rRNA from 1 species
AUCAAACUUAAGAGUUUGAUCCUGGCUCAGAGCGAACGCUGGCGGCAGGCUUAACACAUGCAAGUCGAACGAGAAACUAGACUUCGGUUUAGUGGAAAGUGGCAGACGGGUGAGUAACGCGUGGGAAUCUACCUUUGAGUGGGGAAUAACAACUAGAAAUGGUUGCUAAUACCGCAUAUACCCUAAGGGGGAAAGGCUUCGGCCGCUCUUAGAUGAGCCCGCGUACGAUUAGUUUGUUGGUGAGGUAAAGGCUCACCAAGACUACGAUCGUUAGCUGGUUUGAGAGGAUGAUCAGCCACACUGGGACUGAGACACGGCCCAGACUCCUACGGGAGGCAGCAGUGGGGAAUAUUGGACAAUGGGCGAAAGCC